rnacentral:rRNA from 1 species
UACGUAGGGUGCAAGCGUUAAUCGGAAUUACUGGGCGUAAAGCGUGCGCAGGCGGUUAUGUAAGACAGAUGUGAAAUGCCCGGGCUUAACCUGGGAACUGCAUUUGUGACUGCAUGGCUAGAGUUUGGCAGAGGGGGGUAGAAUUCCACGUGUAGCAGUGAAAUGCGUAGAUAUGUGGAGGAACACCGAUGGCGAAGGCACUUUACUGGGCUAUUACUAACACUCAGAGACGAAAGCUAAGGGUAGCAAAUGGG